rnacentral:pre_miRNA from 1 species
UAAAUAUUUCUUUCGUUUUAAAAUUCUUGUUUUAGAUUUGUCUAGAUAUUAAUGUAUCUAGUCAUGUUUAAGUAUUUAGAUAACAUUCAUUUAUAAACAAACAUAAACAAGAAUUUUAAAACGGAGGGAGUAAAUA